CCCCGCUGUCUUCUCCGUCCUCCUCGACCGUCCGCGACAAAGCCCAGCUCGGGGUCUGCGGUGGCGAGGCUCGUCCAGCGUGUGUUACCCGCGUUUCUCUCUCCCUUGCCACCCUGAGACUUCUCGUCUCCACCUGAAGCCCGAGGCCGAAGGAGGGUUGUUACCAGAAUGAGAGUUACAGGACCAGCAAAUCGGUUUGGAAACCUCCUGAGCCACUCUGACAUUUUCCGGGCCCUGAUGCUUACUGUUUCUUGCCCUUUGUUCCUAUCCGCUCUUCAGAGUAAAGGAGAUCAUUAUGCCAUGGACAGCGCCAGAGCAACUGGUUUGCACUGCUGUAGUUAGAAGAAAAUCUAAUCACUCUGAAUGACCUACUAUAAUAAGUUAAUCCAUUAUACCCAAGAACAGUAAGACCGGGUGAGUUCCAAGAAGAAAUGCCAGCUCUGGGAAAGAAGGCUCAGUGUUGACACUCCGUUUUUCAGAAGCUGACUCUCCUUAUAAUAGGAAAUCCAGACUCUGCUUUAUUUUUUCCUCUUGAUUGGCUGCAAUUUCACUGUUUGUUAGAACUUCCGCCCAAAACUACAUAAUGGGAAUCAUAUGAGGGGGUAGACUCAGUCAUAGGUUGUGAUUUGGUAUAACCUCCAGUAAAAUUUUGGUUCGAGACCUGAAGACCACAAGGUGAAA